AACGAGCCUACCCCUGGAACCUUGACACAGGUUCCAGUGACACCACCGACGUCAUCUGCACCCGCUAUCUUCUUGCCAUCGUCAGCAGCAUCGACAUCAUCUGCACCCGCGAUCAUCUUACCACCAUCAGCAGUGGUUCCCACCAUCCCGGAGUUCCAGAGAAGGACGUGACUACUGCGUAAACAACAGACAGUGUACAUCGUCGUAAAUCAGCUUGUAGCAUUAAGUAAACUUUGAAUAAAAUCAGACUAGAAGUAGCAUCCGAGUAGUUCAGUUCGUCAUCCGAACUUCAUCUUAGUUUUUUUUAAAAUACCUUUAAUGUAACAACUAUCAUAAUUGGCGCAGUCGGUGCGUUCAUGAGUAAAGCAAUCCGUCGAUAAGUGGAUAUUAUCGAUUCGAGGAGAAAACCAUUGAUGUUCGACGGAUACUACGUCAGAGUGUAAUCUUCCGGUGCGCUUUACGAAUCAACGCGAUUACCAGCAAUCCAUCGAUAAACGGAUAUUAUCGAUUUGAGGGGAAGCCGAGCGUUAUCCUCCGGAAAGCACAGGAUGCGGUGGAUCUACUUGAUGACAAUCCUUUUCAUGAAAGUCCAUCUAAUUUCAUCGAAAUUCAUCCAAGUACACAAUUUGAACCCGGAAAAUGCAGCAUUAAUUUUGAGAUCUGGGCAAGGUAGGCUUUUAACCGGGUACAAUCGAUUAUUGCAUACAAUUGAUUUGAACCAAAUCGGCAAAACAAUUAAAACAUUAGAAGAAUUAAGGGUGCACAGCAACCAAGGAAGUUGUUGUCUUAUUAUUACAAAAUUGUCAAACUUACGGACCCAAUCCUGCAAGAAUCUGAUUGUAGAAAUAGUAAAACUUUGUUGUAAAUAACUACAAGGUCAGUACUUUAGGGGAUGAAUAAAAAAUUAUAUCGAUAGUUCCCGUAGUAUUGAAGAUACUAAAAUGUCUGUAACAGAAAUCUGGGUGCAAAAGCUAUGGUUGAUGUGUACCGUUAAUAGAAAAACUAAACGCAUCAGGAGACUUUUCAAAAAUAAUCAAUUAUAAAAUCAAUGUUUUGAGAAACACUUAUUUUACAUUACUACCAAAGCACCCGAGAACAAAAAGAUCAAUCGAAAUACUAGGAAGCACAAUAAAAUUCAUCACAGGAAAUUUAGACGCCCACGAUCUCCAAAUUAUUAAUAAAAACAUUGAGGCAAUUAAGGAAAACAAUAAUCAAUUGAUUAAAGAGGCUAAUAAUCAGAUUAUAAUCAAUCAAUCGUUUCAAAACUAUAUGAACAAUGUAACUGAAGAAAUAAAAAAAUAUGAAAAUCACAUAUUAAAACUAACCUUACACAAAAAUUUUGUCAUUACUGAAAAUGCUAAAAUUGCCAUGAUCUUCCAAAUUGAAAUGAUACUGAAUAUGUUACAAAUUAUAACAACACAAUACAAAUCAAAUAUUGUAUCUCACCAAUUGUUAACCACUAAGGAACUUAAUAUUAUAUUCGAGCAAUUAGAGGCUACAGGACUCAAACCACAAAACUUGGACGACACUUACAAUUUCAUCGGUGUCACUAGAUUUUACCACGAAAACCAUCUCAUAUUCAGCUUCGAUAUACCAAGAGUUUCGCCAAUAGUCUACGAAAUUACUAAGAUUGAACCCCUCCCAUCUGAAGGAAAAAUCAUUGACAUUGGAACAACUUCAACUUUUUUAGUAAGCAAUAAUGAAGUUCUAUCAAUAAACACCAAGUAUGAGCAAAAAACUCAUAUUUUUACGAGAACUUAGAACUUCAAUUCAACCAUCCCAACAUCUUACCAAUCAAAUCAACGCAAAUAGAGGAAAGACAUCUAGAAAAGCUAUUUAACAUGUCACACUUACACGACAGUCAAUUAGCCAAUCGUCAGCACCUAGAAUUUUUGAAACUCUACCAACAUUCAUCGUCAGGGGUCAUCUUUAUCAUAAUCCUUGGUAUCAUCGCAGCUAUCAGUUAUAGCAGAUGGAACGUGAUAACAGCCGUCGUGAAGAAACGCACGGGACGUGCUUCAUCUAGAGGGGGAGGAGUUAACAACGAGCCUACCCCUGGAACCUUGACACAGGUUCCAGUGACACCACCGACGUCAUCUGCACCCGCUAUCUUCUUGCCAUCGUCAGCAGCAUCGACAUCAUCUGCACCCGCGAUCAUCUUACCACCAUCAGCAGUGGUUCCCACCAUCCCGGAGUUCCAGAGAAGGACGUGACUACUGCGUAAACAACAGACAGUGUACAUCGUCGUAAAUCAGCUUGUAGCAUUAAGUAAACUUUGAAUAAAAUCAGACUAGAAGUAGCA